rnacentral:rRNA from 1 species
AACGAACGCUGGCGGCGUGCUUAACACAUGCAAGUCGAACGCGAAAGGGACUUCGGUCCUGAGUAAAGUGGCGCACGGGUGAGUAACGCGUAGAUAACCUGUCUUCGAGUCUGGAAUAAUACACCGAAAGGGGUACUAAUACCGGAUAUUCUUUCACUUCAUAAGGAGUGCAAGCAAAGGUGGCCUCUGUAUAUGCUACUGCUUGAAGAGGGGUCUGCGUACCAUUAGCUAGUAGGUAGGGUAAAGGCCUACCAAGGCAAUGACGGGUAGGGGGCGUGAGAGCGUGACCCCCCACGACUGGUACUGACACACGGACCAGAUGCCUACGGGUAGCAGCAGCUAGGAAUAUUGGGCAAUGGGCGAAAGCCUGACCCAGCAACACCGCGUGAAGGACGACGGCCUUCGGGUUGUAAACUUCUUUUCGAGGGAAUGAGAAAGGACAGUACCCUCGGAAUAAGGCCCGGCUAACUACGUGCCAGCAGCCGCGUAAGCUAGUCUACG